rnacentral:rRNA from 1 species
UAUGUCCUACGGGACGCAGCAGUGGGGAAUAUUGCACAAUGGGGGAAACCCUGAUGCAGCGACGCCGCGUGGGCGAGGAAGUACCUCGGUAUGUAAAGCCUUAUCAGCAGGGAAGAAACAGGACAGUACCUGACUAAGAAGCCCCGGCUAACUACGUGCCAGCAGCCGCGGUAAUACGUAGGGGGCAAGCGUUAUCCGGAUUCACUGGGCGUAAAGGGAGCGCAGGCGGCAUGGCAAGUCUGCUGUGAAAACCCGGGGCCCAACCGCGGGAGUGCAUUGGAACCUGCCAGGCUGG